rnacentral:rRNA from 1 species
AUAACAUUUGGAAACAGAUGCUAAUACCGCAUAGAUCCAAGAACCGCAUGGUUCUUGGCUGAAAGAUCGCGUAAGCUAUCGCUUUUGGAUGGACCCGCGGCGUAUUAGCUAGUUGGUGAGGUAAUGGCUCACCAAGGCGAUGAUACGUAGCCGAACUGAGAGGUUGAUCGGCCACAUUGGGACUGAGACACGGCCCAAACUCCUACGGGAGGCAGCAGUAGGGAAUCUUCCACAAUGGACGCAAGUCUGAUGGAGCAACGCCGCGUGAGUGAAGAAGGCUUUCGGGUCGUAAAACUCUGUUGUUGGAGAAGAAUGGUCGGCAGAGUAACUGUUGCCGGCGUGACGGUAUCCAACCAGAAAGCCACGGCUAACUACGUGCCAGCAGCCGCGGUAAUACGUAGGUGGCAAGCGUUAUCCGGAUUUAUUGGGCGUAAAGCGAGCGCAGGCGGUUUUUUAAGUCUGAUGUGAAAGCCCUCGGCUUAACCGAGGAAGCGCAUCGGAAACUGGGAAACUUGAGUGCAGAAGAGGACAGUGGAACUCCAUGUGUAGCGGUGAAAUGCGUAGAUAUAUGGAAGAACACCAGUGGCGAAGGCGGCUGUCUGGUCUGUAACUGACGCUGAGGCUCGAAAGCAUGGGUAGCGAACAGGAUUAGAUACCCUGGUAGUCCAUGCCGUANACGAUGAAUGCUAGGUGUUGGAGGGUUUCCGCCCUUCAGUGCCGCAGCUAACGCAUUAAGCAUUCCGCCUGG